rnacentral:rRNA from 1 species
GAUGAACGCUGGCGGCGUGCAUAACACAUGCAAGUCGAACGAUGAAACUUAGUAUACUUCUUCGGAAAGACACUAAGCGGAUUAGUGGCGAACGGGUGAGUAACGCGUGAGUAACCUGCCUUACACAAGGGGAUAGCCUUUGGAAACGAAGAAUAAUACCCUAUAAAACCAUAAAAGCACAUGCUAGAAUGGUCCAAUUGAUAGCGGGGUAAGGUGGACUUGCGUCUGAUUAGCUAGUUGUUGAGAUAAAAGCUCACCAAGGCAACGAUCAGUAGCCGGCUUGAGAGAGUAUACGGCCCCAUUGGGACUGAGACACGGCCCAGCCUCCUCCGGGUGGCAGCAGUGGGGAAUUUUGCGCACUGGCGGCAACCCUGAUGCCGCGUCGCCCCGUGAUUUAGAAGGCCUUCAGGUUGUAAAAAUCUUUUGUAUAGGAAGACAAUGACAGUACUAUACGAAUAAGGUCCGGCUAAUUACGUG